rnacentral:rRNA from 1 species
UACGUAGGGGGCAAGCGUUGUCCGGAAUUAUUGGGCGUAAAGCGCGUGUAGGCGGUCCGGUAAGUCGGCUGUGAAAGUCCAGGGCUCAACCCUGGGAUGCCGGUCGAUACUGCCGGGCUAGAGUGCGGUAGAGGGUGGCGGAAUUCCCGGUGUAGCAGUGAAAUGCGUAGAUAUCGGGAGGAACAUCUGUGGCGAAGGCGGCCACCUGGACCAGCACUGACACUGAGGCACGAAAGCGUGGGGAGCAAACAGG